AUUGAACGCUGGCGGCAGGCCUAACACAUGCAAGUCGAGCGGAUGAAGAGAGCUUGCUCGCUGAUUUAGCGGCGGACGGGUGAGUAAUGCCUAGGAAUCUGCCUGGUAGUGGGGGAUAACGUUCCGAAAGGAACGCUAAUACCGCAUACGUCCUACGGGAGAAAGCAGGGGACCUUCGGGCCUUGCGCUAUCAGAUGAGCCUAGGUCGGAUUAGCUAGUUGGUGAGGUAAUGGCUCACCAAGGCUACGAUCCGGAACUGGUCUGAGAGGAUGAUCAGUCAAACUGGAACUGGGACACGGUCCAGACUCCUACGGGAGGCAGCAGUGGGGAAUAUUGGACAAAGGGCGAAAGCCUGAUCCAGCCAUGCCGCGUGUGUGAAGAAGGUCUUCGGAUUGUAAAGCACUUUAAGUUGGGAGGAAGGGCAGUAAGCUAAUACCUUACUGUUUUGACGUUACCGACAGAAUAAGCACCGGCUAACUUCGUGCCAGCAGCCGCCGUAAUAC
rnacentral:rRNA from 1 species